rnacentral:rRNA from 1 species
GUGAGUAGUUCAGAGUUUGAUCCUGGCUCAGGAUGAACGCUAGCGGCAGGCUUAACACAUGCAAGUCGAGGGGCAGCAUAAUGAAGUAGCAAUACUGAAUUGAUGGCGACCGGCGCACGGGUGCGUAACGCGUAUGCAACCUACCCAUAACAGGGGGAUAACACUGAGAAAUUGGUACUAAUACCCCGUAACAUCAUUUGAGGCAUCUCAGAUGGUUGAAAGUUCCGGCGGUUAUGGAUGGGCAUGCGUUGUAUUAGCUAGUUGGUGGGGUAAUGGCUCACCAAGGCGACGAUACAUAGGGGACCGAGAGGUUAACCCCCCACAUUGGUACUGAGACACGGACCAA